AUGGGAGUCCAUCACUUCAGAUGCUUGGGUUCUCCGCAUUGUCCAAGAGGGCUACGCCUUAGAGUUCGCAGAGCUCCCACCUACAGGUCACGUUCUUUCUUCAAUUCCUUCUCCAGAAAUACUGGCCGAAAUCGAUGCCCUCCUGGCCAAAGGCGCCAUCCGUCUCUCUCCUCCCGAACUGGACCCGCAAAGUUUCUUCUCCAGGUACUUCACGGUCCCGAAGAGGGGGGGCAGGCUACGCCCCAUUCUAGACUUAAGGGCCCUCAAUGUCUUCAUUCGUCCUUCCAAAUUCAGAGUGGUCUCUAUUACCUCUAUUCUCCCGAUGCUGCAGCAGGGAGACUACUUUGCCUCCAUAGACUUAUGAGACGCUUACUUCCACGUAGCGAUAAGGGAGGCUCACAGACGUUUCCUCUGUUUCAAAGUCCUCGACCAAACUUAUCAAUUUACCGUUUUGCCCUUCGGCCUAGUCACGGCUCCAAGGGUCUUUACCAAAGUUGUUGCCACCGUAGCGGCCCACCUCAGGCUACAUGGCAUCACGGUCUUUCCUUAUCUGGACGACUGACUUCUGGUCGGGCCCUACCCUGUCCUUCUCGAACGCCACCUCUCCUUCACACUGCGUCUCCUAAACUCUCUCGGCCUCCAACUCAAUGCCGAGAAGUCACAUCUCACCCCGUCGACCAAAAUUCGCUUCAUCGGAGCUCUCUUCGACUCCGUCACACAGACUGUCUCGUUACCGCUCGACAGAUUCCUAGUUCUCCGCCACCAGAUCGCCCUAUGUCGAUCCGCCCGGAGGGUCCGAGCCCGUGCCGUUCAAGUCCUUCUAGGCCACAUGGCCUCCACAGUUCUCAUGACCCCCUUCGCCAGGCUGCGUCUUUGGGUCCUACAAAGGUGGUUUAUAGACACUUUCAAGCCGCUCUACCACCACAACUCGAAGUACCUGUCGAUACCGUCAAACGUUCACCGAUCCCUCUCAUGGUGGACGUCUCACCGAAACGUGUGCAGGGGACUUCCAUUUCAUCCAACCCUACCUUCAAUGACUAUAACCACGGACUCCACCUACGCCUGGGGAGCCCACAUGAACGGCCUGACGGUCCAAGAUCUCUGGUCCCCAUCCGAAAGGACCAACCACAUAAACUUUCUCGAGCUUCUCACCAUCUUCAAAGCCCUGAAAGCUUUCUCCCGCCUCAUCUGCCACAAGUCCAUCCUCAUUCAAUCGGACAAUCUAGUAGCAGUCUUCUACAUCAACAAACAGGGCGGUACGGGUUCGAGAAAGCUGAUGCACAUCUCCUCCCGCCUCUGGUUUUGGUGCAUAGCCCACGACAUCCAAGUCUCCGCGAUUCACCUUCCGGGUGCCCAGAACGACUUGGCAGAUGCCCUCAGCAGGAUGACAUCCUCCUCCCACGAGUGGAAGCUCGAUCCCGAGAUUCUCCACACUCUGUUCCUCGACUGGGGGCGACCUACUCUGGACCUUUUUGCCUCUCCCCAAAACGCUCAACUAUCCCGCUACGGAGCGAGGCUCCCCCCGAACUCCUUUCCAGGCUGCCUGGGAGACGCCUUUCUGCUGGACUGGUCAGCAGAGAUGCUUUACCUCUUUCCCCCUAUUCCCCUCAUACCGAAAGUCCUCGAAAGACUCCUCUCGAUCUCGGUCACAGCGAUCCUCAUAGCUCCGGCUUGGCCUCGCCAGCCGUGGUACCCGGCCCUUCUUCGUCUCUCCAGAGGAACGUUUCACCCUCUGCCUCCCUCGCCACACCUUCUCUCCAGAGAGGACGGUCAGAUUCUUCACCCGGACCUUCCUUCUCUUCAUCUCACUGCUUGGAGGAUUCUUACCUAACCUCCCUUCCACAAAACCUCCAGGAUGUUCUUCGGGCAGCCCAUAAGCCGGCUACAACCAAAGCUUAUACCUACAAGCUUUCUCGCUUUCACGCCUUCCUUCGAUCCCGUGAUAUCGACUCCUUUCCGACUUCGGUACCGGUGGUCCUCGACUUCCUCAUGACUCUCGUCGAGAGAAAACUCUCUCUCGCUUCUAUUAAGGCCUACCUCGCAGCCCUUUCUUGGUCUUUUCAACGCCAUGGUCAGCCGUCUCUCUUCUCUCACCACCUGAUCAAAACCUUUCUCCGAGGCUACAACAACAUCUGCCCACCGUCGCUUCCGCCUACGCCGGGCUGGAACCUUGAACUUGUGCUCUCUCAACUCACAUCUGCUCCCUUCGAACCACUGGCCUCAACCGAUCUCCGCUUGCUUUCGUGGAAACUAGCCUUCCUAGUGGCGAUCACUUCGGCACGACGGCCUUCUGAGCUUGCUGCUCUCAGGGUUGAUGAGCCAUAUCUACGUUUCCACCACGACCGUGCUGUCCUUCGCCCGGACAUUACCUUUCUCCCUAAGGUGGUGUCAGCUUUCCACCUCAAUCAGGACAUUGUCCUACCAGCUUUCUUCUCUAAUCCCUCCUCUCCUCUCGAGCGAAAACUUCACCUUCUCGACGUUCGCAGAGCACUCCUCUUUUACAAGGACCGUACCAGGGGCAUCCGUAAGACUCAGAGACUCUUUGUCGCCUAUGCGCCGGACAAGUUGGGUAAUCCCAUCUCCUCCCAAAGGUUGUCCCAUUGGAUUGCUCAGGCCAUUGAGUUGGCUUACGAACUGGCCAAGCGCCCUCCCCCUCCAUCCAUCCGUCCGAGAUCGACGAGGGGCCUUUCGGCUUCGACCGCCUUCCUCAGGGGUAUCCCGCUCGACUCCAUUUGCAAAGCGGCAAUCUGGUCAAACCCACUUACGUUUGUUUCUCACUACAGGCUAGACAACAAAGCCCUGAAAGACUCGGCCUUCGCAAGAUCGGUACUCUCAUCUUGCUUAUCCUAACUCUCAAACGGCCUUCUUCUCCCUAUACUCACCCGCAGGUGACUCUCUAUACCUCUCCUUCAAGCUAUGGGGCCAGUUUUCUCCCCAUACCUAUACCUCCGGGGACAUGUUUUUCCCUGAUUGUGUUGGAAUGUUGUUCUGUAACACUUUAUUCACCCUGAUGGGUAUGUCAAGUUAUCUGAUGUUUCCCCUCUUCCCCUGGGAGAGUGUUCAUAUACACUGUACUCAACUUUCGUGUUGUAUUACGUUUAUUCAGUAUUUUUCCUGAUAUGUUCCGUCUGUGUGUGCGAAAAAGACCUUGGAGUCCUCGUGGACAACAAGUUAAACAUGAGCCAACAAUGUGAUGCGGCUGCUAAAAAAGCCAAUGGGAUUCUGGCCUGCAUCAAUAGGGGAAUAGCGUCUAGAUCCAGGGAAGUUAUGCUCCCCCUCUAUUCUGCCUUGGUCAGACCACACCUGGAAUACUGUGUCCAAUUUUGGGCACCACAGUUGAAGGGAGAUGUUGACAAGCUGGAAAGCGUCCAGAGGAGGGCGACUAAAAUGAUUAAGGGUCUGGAGAACAAGCCCUAUGAGGAGCGGCUUAAAGAGCUGGGCAUGUUUAGCCUGCAGAAGAGAAGGCUGAGAGGAGACAUGAUAGCCAUGUACAAAUAUGUGAAGGGAAGUCAUAGGGACGAGGGAGCAAGCUUGUUUUCUGCUGCCCUGCAGACUAGGACACGGAACAAUGGCUUCAAACUACAGGAAAGGAGAUUCCACUUGAACAUCAGGAAGAACUUCCUCACUGUGAGAGCUGUUCGACAGUGGAACUCUCUCCCCGGGGCCGUGGUGGAGGCUCCUUCCUUGGAGGCUUUUAAGCAGAGGCUGGAUGGCCAUCUGUCGGGGGUGCUUUGAAUGCGAUUUCCUGCUUCUUAGCAGGGGGUUGGACUAGAUGGCCCAUGUGGUCUCUUCCAACUCUACUAUUCUAUGAUUCUAUGAUUCUAUGAUUCUUAUGUUAUGUUCAUGCUGACAUUGCACUGGUCCUUUCGGACAACUUAUUGCACUGGUCUCUUGGGACUAUUAUCUCAAUGUGUCCUGAUGCACUGGUCUCUUGGGACUGUUAUCUCAAUGUGUCCUAAUAAACUUAUGUUUGGACAUUCACUGGUUGUCGAGUUUGCCUUGUCCCACCAUCCGGGACCUUAGCGUGUCAGUCUCCAUUAGUGUGCAUUCACAGAGUACACGAAGAAAAAGGACAGGUUGCUUACCUGUAACCAUGUUUCUUCGAGUGUACUCUGUGAAUUCACACAAACCCGCCCUUCCUUCCCCUCUGGCAAACCUCUCCCUUUCUCGUUGCCUUGGCGGCGCAGGAACUGGAGAGCGGGCGCCCGGGGCUGCCUUAUAUGCCCCUUGGGAAGGGGGGCGUGGUUACUGCCAAAAUUUGAACUUCAGCUUGGAAGAUUUUCCGUCGGAACCUGCGCAGGCGCAGUUUCUCCAUUAGUGUGAAUUCACAGAGUACACUCGAAGAAACAUGGUUACAGGUAAGCAACCUGUCCUUUUCCAGAGUCAUAACAAAGACCUUUAUCACCUCUGUGCAUUGUUUAGUUGCCAUGAAGCUGUCUUGUCAUGCUAGGUGCUCAGUGUAGAUUGCACUGCAUUUGGAAUUUAGAAAGCAAUUGUUACUCUAAAAAAGAUGGUCAGAAUUGUGGCAGAAUGAAAAUCACACGUAGUUCACGUUUGACCAGUCCACAUACUGACUUGCCAGAGAAAAGAUAUGCCAUGCAGAUGAUCAGUAAAGAACAGGAAGUUUACUCUUCAAAAUGCAGAGCAACAUAUAUACAGUCAUUUCAACAGUUGCACUGACUCACGCAAUGUCCUUUGAGAGAGAUUCAAAUGGUCCUUAGAUGUCCAUUUAAAAUGUCUUCCUUUCAGCGGCCCAGGAGCAAACUUCUCUUUGCUAAGCUCCUGCACAGAAAACCAUCUGUAACUGUUGCCAAAACUCCAAGGCUCAGUUAGUUCCCUGGGUGUGGCCAAACCAAUCAGCUUCAUGCUUUGGUUUUUACAUGCCCCAAUAAAAAUGACCCUUGCCUGACUUAUGGGAGUAUUGAAUGGUUUAGUUAUUUUCUGCAGUAUUCCAUAUGAUCGUCAUCUUAUGUGUUAGUCUCAUUCUCAUCUCCCCACCCAAACUUUAAACAAAUUAUACUGCAAUUAUGGUAGUGCAGUUUGUUCUACCAGACCAGUUUCUGGAUUUGCUGGGGUGAGUGAAAUGGCAAAUAGGCUGAAAUUGUAGUACAGUGUUCCCUCGCUACUUCGCAGUUCACUUUUCGUUCCCUUUCUGUUUCAUGGGUUUUCAAUUAAUAUUACUGUACACAUUUAUUGCGGUAUUUUGGCUGUUUUGCAGGUUUUUGCUGUGUGCAAAGGGUUUUGGAAGGGGGGAAGGGAGAAAUAAAGGGAGAAGGGGAAGGGUAGGGAAGGGUUGGAAAUAAAAAAAGGGUUAUUUAGCUUCCAUUCUUCUUCUCUGCCAGUGUAGUGUAUGUUGUAACUGCUAAAAUAAAGUACAGACUGCAUUGUAGUAAGUGGUCUGUGGUUUGCUCUCCUCCACACAUAGAAUAAAUAUAGUGUCCCUACUUCGCGGAUUUUCACUUAUUGUGGGUGGUCCUGGAACGUAACCCCUGCGAUAAGUGAGGAAACACUGUACAUGCUGAGAAGCUUAGGAAAGCAUAGGACUAGUUAUUUCUAGAGCUUGGAAAUGACCUGUAUACCUUACUUCUUAGGCUGCUAUUGUUAGAAUCUCUAGCUAAUGUGGCUGCUGUUGGGGGAUUCUUAAAGUUAUUGUCCAAACAACAACCUUUUCAAUUUCUGGUUAUUUCUAGGUUCAGCUGCAGAAAAGGUCUCCAGAAAUUUGGAUGGGUGGCAAAUUUUGUUUGUUGCUGUCUGACCCAAAUAAAUUAAGGAAUGCGUCAGCGACUAAUGCCUGCUGUCAUACAACAUGAUAUAUUAAAGAACUGGAUUUUAAUAGAUUUUUUUUGUAAUGCUCCCCAACGAGGGAUAGCUUGCAUGGAAAUCAUGCAACAUGCUUGCCGUCUAGAUAUUGAAAUUCAUCAUUGAAAAACUCAUGGAAUCAGUUUUAUCUGGCACCUCAACAAUCUUGUCCCAUCUAUCAAUUCAUAGCAUUUGAGAAUUACCAAGUUCCUCUCCCUCUUCUUCCUUGCCCACAUUUGUUUUCCCUUCCUGCCUUAGGCAGGUAUUUAUAUUGGCAAACCACUCCCCUUCUCCUCCUUUUUUCUGUCACAUGCCCACUUUGUUUCUUAUCUCUUAUCUGCAGUGAUUUGCCAUGUUACAGAAUUAACUUUUCAGACAUUGGAUGCAUUCCAGAGUGCCGUUUUUCAUGUGCCCUAAUUACACACUGGUUGAAUUCCUUUUCUCUUUUCUUCUCUUUCAUUACCGCAUCCAGUUCAGUGUUUAGGAAGGAAGCAAGUUCUAAAUAUAGGUCUUAAGGAGGGCAGUAAAAAGUGACAGUAAUUCCUUCGUCUCUGGUAAGAAGAUUGAGGUAAUAUAUCUCCUGCCGUACUCCUGCAAAUUUCUACCCAGCGAUCCAGGAAAAAUGGCUGCUGUCUUGGUUUGGUCCAUUUGAAAACUACAUUUUUCAACACAUUUUAUUCCAGAUGAUUCACUCAGAGAAACGAGGGGAAUCUCCAAGGAUGAAGGAGAAGAUGGAGAAGGCUGCACUCCUGCGCAGCCACGAUAAUGGUUUAUCUCAUUUACUGUCUCUGGUCCUGCAAGAGCUGAGCCUGUUCUAU